GGCAAAUGCACUCUGUGUCACAAUGAUUUUAAACCACAUGUGAUGACAAUUUGUUAGUUUGCUAUAUCAAAGGGUUGCGUCUUAUCCAUGUGAUCAAUUCCCAUUCAGGGCGAUUACAUUGAAAACGCAUUUUACAUAC